CAAGCAGUGUUUGGUGCAGCUAACCAGCUCUCUUUGGCCAUGGGAUUGCAAUAAUACGGCCAUCUAAAAAAGGAGCCAACACUCGAUGGUUUCGCCCUGCUGAAUUUGUUCAAUCCUUUCCACAAUCAGCGAAAGCCAACUGAUUGCUCGAAAGUCUGUCGGUGCUAUGAAGAAGCUGAGGAUGGAAAGAGACGAUGAGUUAUGACACUGGGCAGGCCUUGUUUUAACUGUCGCAUUUGUCGUUGGGUCUCAAGACUCUGGAAAUGGACAUGUUGAUUACUGAACACUUCUCCAUGAAAAUGAAGAUAAGAGCAUUAGAUCCUGUGUUGUGUGCUGUAGCUCUAGCUUUAAUGUUACGUUCUGGAACUCCUCCAUUAUUGAGUUUUUAUAGUUCUCUUUUUCUGGUAA